rnacentral:rRNA from 1 species
AUGGGUGACAGAUCGGCCAUAGGAGUACUCGGAGGAAGGGUUAAGGAUUUACCCGGUGUGAGAUAUCACAUUAUUCGAGGAACCCUAGAUGUUGUCUCAGUAAAGAAUUGUCAACAAGGGCGUUCUAGUGCGUUGUAG